AGACCGUCAACUCCUCCGACGCCUCGACUUAUUUCUGUGCUGUGGCCGCAUGUGGAGAGAUAUUGUUUGGAAAUAGGACAAAGAUUGACUUCAAAGGAGCCGACAAUCAGACAACCGUAAUAGCUCUGUUUCUGUUAUCAGCUGCUUUGGCUAUAAGCUUGAUUAUUAUAGCUUUCCUGAUUCAUAUCAUCAAGACUAAAUCGUGUGAUUCCAGCAAAGCUGCUGAAGUUCUGCAAACACAUCCUGCAGCAGAUCGACGACGCCAGCAGAGCGCUGAGGACUCGUUGGUUUAUUCUGCACCGACUUUUUCUAAGAUUAGAACGGACAAAAGAGAGAAGAGAAAAGUCAAAGCAGCAACAGAAGAGACGAUCUACACCGGGGUCAGAACUCCUCCGACUGGCUAAAAAGAUGUGCUCAUUUAAGACGUAUUAAAUAUUUGAUAUGUAUAUUAUAAGACUGUGGGGAAUGUAAAAUCUUACAGCAAUGUGACCAUAAGAAGAGAAUAACCUUUGUAAUGUUUUGUGUAUGGUUUUACAUGUUUUGACUCAUCUGUGUUCAAUCAUUGUUAGAUUGGUUUUAUCACCAAAGGUAGAGUAUUAGCAAGAUAAACAAUAUUUGCAGUCGUGCACUAAAACUGGACGGAAGCUGGAGUGCUGACUGUGUGUCGGGUAAUGUUCAGUAACACAAGGUGCACUGUAGUGGGGACAAACAGUGGAGCAGCUUACCUCUGCUUGGUAGUGGAGUGGUCUCUGAAGCGGUUGCAGGAACACUUGUGUGGGAGAGAAGCUGGUCCGCUGUUUCUCUUUUUUUCUGUGUCGUUUUAAAGAUGUUAAC